rnacentral:rRNA from 1 species
UGUCCAACGUUAAUCGGGGCAGGGUGAGUCGACCCCUAAGGUGAGGCCGAAAGGCGUAAUCGAUGGGAAACGGGUUAAUAUUCCCGUACUUCUGACUAUUGCGAUGGGGGGACGGAGAAGGCUAGGUGGGCCAGGCGACGGUUGUCCUGGUUCAAGUGCGUAGGCUUGAGAGUUAGGUAAAUCCGGCUCUCUCUAAGGCUGAGACACGACGUCGAGCUGCUACGGCAGUGAAGUCAUUGAUGCCAUGCUUCCAGGAAAAGCCUCUAAGCUUCAGAUAGUCAGGAAUCGUACCCCAAACCGACACAGGUGGUCGGGUAGAGAAUACCAAGGCGCUUGAGAGAACUCGGGUGAAGGAACUAGGCAAAAUGGUACCGUAACUUCGGGAGAAGGUACGCUCUUGAUGGUGAAGUCCCUCGCGGAUGGAGCUGACGAGAGUCGCAGAUACCAGGUGGCUGCAACUGUUUAUUAAAAACACAGCACUGUGCAAAAUCGCAAGAUGACGUAUACGGUGUGACGCCUGCCCGGUGCCGGAA